rnacentral:tRNA from 1 species
GCCUGGGUGGCUCAGUCGGUUGAGCGUCUGACUUCAGCCUCAGGUCAUGAUCUCCUGGUUCGUGGGUUUGAGCCCCGCGUCAGGCU